AGUCGAGCGAUGAAGUUCCUUCGGGAACGGAUUAGCGGCGGACGGGUGAGUAACACGUGGGUAACCUGCCUUAUAGAGGGGAAUAGCCUUCCGAAAGGAAGAUUAAUACCGCAUAAAGUUGUUGAUUCGCAUGGAUCGAUAACCAAAGGAGCAAUCCGCUAUAAGAUGGACCCGCGGCGCAUUAGCUAGUUGGUGAGGUAAUGGCUCACCAAGGCGACGAUGCGUAGCCGACCUGAGAGGGUGAUCGGCCACAUUGGGACUGAGACACGGCCCAGACUCCUACGGGAGGCAGCAGUGGGGAAUAUUGCACAAUGGGGGAAACCCUGAUGCAGCAACGCCGCGUGAGUGAUGAAGGCCUUCGGGUUGUAAAGCUCUGUCUUUGGGGACGAUAGUGACGGUACCCAAGGAGGAAGCCACGGCUAACUACGUGCCAGCAGCCGCGGUAAUACGUAGGUGGCAAGCGUUGUCCGGAUUUACUGGGCGUAAAGGGAGCGUAGGCGGAUUUUUAAGUGGGAUGUGAAAUACCCGGGCUCAACUUGGGUGCUGCAUUCCAAACUGGAAGUCUAGAGUGCAGGAGAGGAAAGUGGAAUUCCUAGUGUAGCGGUGAAAUGCGUAGAGAUUAGGAAGAACACCAGUGGCGAAGGCGACUUUCUGGACUGUAACUGACGCUGAGCUCGAAAGCGUGGGGAGCAAACAGGAUAGAUACCCUGGUAGUCCACGCCGUAAACGAUGGAUACU
rnacentral:rRNA from 1 species